GACGAGUGGCGGACGGGUGAGUAAUGUCUGGGAAACUGCCUGAUGGAGGGGGAUAACUACUGGAAACGGUAGCUAAUACCGCAUAACGUCGCAAGACCAAAGAGGGGGACCUUCGGGCCUCUUGCCAUCGGAUGUGCCCAGAUGGGAUUAGCUAGUAGGUGGGGUAACGGCUCACCUAGGCGACGAUCCCUAGCUGGUCUGAGAGGAUGACCAGCCACACUGGAACUGAGACACGGUCCAGACUCCUACGGGAGGCAGCAGUGGGGAAUAUUGCACAAUGGGCGCAAGCCUGAUGCAGCCAUGCCGCGUGUAUGAAAAAGGCCUUCGGGUUGUAAAGUACUUUCAGCGGGGAGGAAGGGAGUAAAGUUAAUACCUUUGCUCAUUGACGUUACCCGCAGAAGAAACACCGGUUAACUCCGUGCCAGCCCCCGCGGUAAUACGGAGGGUGCAAGCCUUACUCGGAAUUACUGGGCGUAAAGCGCACGCACGCGGCUUGUUAAUUCAUAUGUGAAAUCUCCGGGCUCAACCCUGGGAACUGCCUCUGACACUGGCAAGUUUGACUCUCGUAGAGGGGGCGUAGAAUCUUUC
rnacentral:rRNA from 1 species